AGAUAUUCACUGAAUGUGUCUCAAAGAGUAAACGAAUAAUUAUUCUUAACUUAUAGCCAGGACAAUGGCCUCUCCUAGAACUUUAGACCUUUAUACUAACUGCUUCCCAGAAAAUUUUUACUCAGAUACGUCAUUGUCAUUUAAAAUUCAAAAUGUCUAAGACUUGAAUCACCACCUUGCUCCCAGUACCAGUUCCUUCUCCUUUUCAGUAUCCUUGGCUUAAAAUGAUCAACAUUCCUGAUAUGUUGAAAUUAUAUGGCUUGAAAUGAUCAACAUCCCCUUUGCUUCUGUCUCUGAGCAGUCCUAAAUCCCGUUAAUUCCUGCUUAGAAUUCCUCAGAUCACCCUCUCCUUUCCGUCUCCUGUCUUUUACUGACAGAGUUUAGCAUCAAAUCAGAGAGCAAAGGAGAAGUGUCUGCAGCAUUCAGCUCCACUAUUACAAAGCAAGGCAAAUAAGAGUGGGUUUGGAGUUGAGAUGCACUGUUCUUUCCUUUGCUCUUAAAAAAAGAAUAUCAAAGUUCCCCACAUCAGUUGGAAGUGACAUUUCUUUCUUCUGACUCCUAUUUCACUUAUUUUGGAGACCAACCAUGUAACACUAAUAGUGUGUUACUAGAUAUUCUAAAUAUUCUCACAUAAUGUGUUUUCCCUCAUACUAGAUGACAAAUUCCUAAAGGACAAUUGUCUUUUAAAAUUUUUGUGUUAAUUACAGAAAUGGUAUUUCAAAUGUAUAAAGUGAAUAUCCUUCUAACCAUCGUCAUGUCAAGACAUAGAAUGUGGUCAGCAUCCCAGAAGUCCUCUGUGCCCUUCCCAAUGACAACCCCCAACUCUGCUCCCAAGAGUAACCAUUGGCUUCUACAAUAAUCACUUCUUAACUUUUCUUUAUUACCCCAGUGUGCUUCCCUAAAUCUUAUAGCUCAGGUCUGUAUUUUGUAAUGUCUUUUAAAUCGCUCAAUUUAUGCUUUCAUCUCUGUCCUUUUUCCCCUAUAUUUUAUUUGUGUAAGAAACUGGACAAUUUAUCCUAUAGAAUUUUCAACAGUUUAUUGCAUUUCCAUGGUGUGGUAUAAUAUGUUCCUCUGUCCUCUGUAUUCUUUUGUAAAUUGUGUUUUUUGUAAAUCAAGAGGCACAAUCAGAUACAGGUUCAAAAUUUUUAACAAAAUUUUUUUAA
rnacentral:lncRNA from 1 species